rnacentral:rRNA from 1 species
AUUGAACGCUAGCGGGAUGCUUUACACAUGCAAGUCGAACGGCAGCACGGACUUCGGUCUGGUGGCGAGUGGCGAACGGGUGAGUAAUGUAUCGGAACGUGCCUAGUAGCGGGGGAUAACUACGCGAAAGCGUGGCUAAUACCGCAUACGCCCUACGGGGGAAAGGGGGGGAGUCGCAAGACCUCUCACUAUUAGAGCGG